rnacentral:siRNA from 1 species
AUCAGAGUCCGAGGAUCUUGC